AGAGUGAACGCUGGCGGCAGGCCUAACACAUGCAAGUCGAACGGCAGCACAGAGGAGCUUGCUCCUUGGGUGGCGAGUGGCGGACGGGUGAGGAAUACAUCGGAAUCUGCCUUAUCGUGGGGGAUAACGUAGGGAAACUUACGCUAAUACCGCAUACGACCUACGGGUGAAAGCGGAGGACCUUCGGGCUUCGCGCGAUAAGAUGAGCCGAUGUCGGAUUAGCUAGUUGGUGGGUAAAGCCCACCAAGGCUACGAUCCGUAGCCGGUCUGAGAGGAUGAUCAGCCACACUGGAACUGAGACACGGUCCAGACUCCUACGGGAGGCAGCAGUGGGGAAUAUUGGACAAGUGGGCGCAAGCCUGAUCCAGCCAUGCCGCGUGAGUAGAAGAAGGCCUUCGGUUAGUAAGUCGUCGUUUCGGUAGGGAAGAAGUGGUACGUGACUAAUACCACGACUGAUGACGGUACCCGAAGAAGAAGACGACCGGACUAACCUAGUCGCCAGCA
rnacentral:rRNA from 1 species